rnacentral:rRNA from 1 species
GAUGAACGCUGGCGGCGUGCCUAAUACAUGCAAGUUGAGCGAACGGACGAGAAGCUUGCUUCUCUGAUGUUAGCGGCGGACGGGUGAGUAACACGUGGAUAACCUACCUAUAAGACUGGGAUAACUUCGGGAAACCGGAGCUAAUACCGGAUAAUAUUUUGAACCGCAUGGUUCAAAAGUGAAAGACGGUCUUGCUGUCACUUAUAGAUGGAUCCGCGCUGCAUUAGCUAGUUGGUAAGGUAACGGCUUACCAAGGCAACGAUGCAUAGCCGACCUGAGAGGGUGAUCAGCCACACUGGAACUGAGACACGGUCCAGACUCCUACGGGAGGCAGCAGUAGGGAAUCUUCCGCAAUGGGCGAAAGCCUGACGGAGCAACGCCGCGUGAGUGAUGAAGGUCUUCGGAUCGUAAAACUCUGUUAUUAGGGAAGAACAUAUGUGUAAGUAACUGUGCACAUCUUGACGGUACCUAAUCAGAAAGCCACGGCUAACUACGUG